rnacentral:rRNA from 1 species
AAACUAAUUUAGUUUGGCGGCAUUUCAUCUAAUUAGAGGAAUUCGUUUUUUAAUCGACACCACACGUUAAAUCUUACUUUAAUUUUAUAAAUUUAUAUACCGCCAUCUUAAGAAUCAAUUCCAAAAUAUUUCUCCCAAAAAUAAAUAAAAAGUUAGGUCAAGGUGUAAUUCACAUUAAAGAAUUAAUGAAUUACAUUAAAUAUAAUUUAAAGAUUAUAAAUCUACAAUUUAUAUAAAUAAGGAUUUAAAAGUAAUAUAUUAAAUAAUAUUACAAUAUGAUUUAGAUAANAAAUGUGCACACAUCGCCC